rnacentral:rRNA from 1 species
CAGUAGCCGCGGUAAGACAGAGGGUGCAAACGUUGUUCGGAAUUACUGGGCGUAAAGCGAGUGUAGGCGGUUCGGUAAGUCGGAUGUGAAAGCCCCGGGCUCAACCCGGGAAGUGCACUCGAUACUACCAAGCUAGAGUACUGGAGAGGUUGGUGGAAUUCUCGGUGUAGAGGUGAAAUUCGUAGAUAUCGAGAGGAACACCGGUGGCGAAGGCGGCCAACUGGACAGAUACUGACGCUGAGACUCGAAAGCGUGGGGAGCAAACAGGAUUAGAUACCCGCGUAGUCCCUGUCUCUUAUAA